AGAGCUUGAUCCUGGCUCAGAACGAACGCUGGCGGCAGGCCUAACACAUGCAAGUCGAGCGGACAACCUUCGGGUUGUUAGCGGCAAACGGGUGAGUAACACGUGAGAAUCUGCCUUGUUCAAGGGAAUAGUCCAAGGAAACUUGGGGUAAUACCCUAUAAUUCCUGUGAUCAGGUAAAGAACUAGCUUCGGAACAAGAUGAGCUUGCGGUAGAUUAGCUAGUUGGUGAGGGUAAAGGCCUACCAAGGCAACGAUCUAUAGCUGGUCUGGGAGGACGACCAGCCACAUUGGGACUGAGACAAGGCCCAACCCUCUACGGAGGGCAGCAGUGGGGAAUAUUGGACAAUGGGCGUAAGCCUGAUCCAGCCAUGCCGCAUGAGUGACCGAAGGUCUUACAAAGGGGUACAGAACAUGUACUUUAGACUGUAAAACUCAAUUUAUUAGUGAUAAUAAUGAUGUUAACUGAUAAAAGCUCCGGCCAACUUCGUGCCAGCAGCCGCGGUAAUACGAGGGGAGCGAGUGUUGUUCGGUUUUAAUGGGCGUAAAGGGUGCGUAGGCUGUUCUGUAAGUCAAUAGUCAAAUCUUGGAGCCCAACUCCAUAAAGGGUAUUGAUACUGCAUUACUACGAACUUAACAGGGGUGUAACACAAUUCCAAGUGUAGGGGUGAAAUCCGUUGAUAUUUGGAGGAGUACCAGAGGCGAAAGCGGUUCACUGGGUUAAGUUGACGCUGAGGCACGAAAGCGUGGGGAGCAAACAGGAUUAGAUACCCUGGUAGUCCACGCCCUAAACGAUGAGUGCUAACAGUUGAGUAUCAAAUGCCCUUAUCAAAGAUGUGUUUUCGAACACAUCAGAGGUUUGGUCUACAUUUAUAUUUGAUUGGGAAAGCUAACGCGUUAAGCACUCCGCCUGGGGACUACGGUCGCAAGGCUAAAACUCAAAGGAAUUGACGGAGACCCGCACAAGCGGUGGAGCAUGUGGUUUAAUUCGAAGCUACACGAAGAACCUUACCAGCUCUUGACAUUUUAGGCUAAACAUGUUGGAAACAACAUGCUGCUUGCGAUAGCAAGAAUGCCUUUAACAGGUGCUGCAUGGCUGUCGUCAGCCCGUGCCGUGAGGCGUAUGGUUAAGUCCCAAAACGGGCGCAACCCUUGCCCAUAGUUGCCAAAAACAUAAUGGGCUCUCUAAGGGGACUGCCAAUGCAAGUUGGAGGAAGGAGAGGACAACGGCAAGUCAUCAUGGCCCUUAUGGGCUGGGCUACACACGUGCUACAAUGGCAGCUACAAAGAGUCGCAAUACUGCGAGGUGGAGCCAAUCUCAAAAAGCUGUCUUAGUUCGGAUUGCACUCUGCAACUCGAGUGCAUGAAGCAGGAAUCGCUAGUAAUCGUGGAUCAGCAUGCCACGGUGAAUACGUUCUCGGGUCUUGUACACACCGCCCGUCACACCAUGGAAGCCAACCCUGUUCCAAGCCUCUAGAUUUAGAGGCCAAAGCAGGGUUGGUGACCGGGGUGAAGUCGUAACAAGGUAGCCGUAGGGGAACCUGUGGCUGAAACAAUG
rnacentral:rRNA from 1 species